AUGAACGCUGACAGAAUGCUUAACACAUGCAAGUCAACUUGAAUUUGGGUUUUUAACUUAGGUUUGGGUGGCGGACGGGUGAGUAACGCGUAAAGAACUUGCCUCACAGCUAGGGACAACAUUUGGAAACGAAUGCUAAUACCUAAUAUUAUGAUAAUAGGGCAUCCUAUAAUUAUGAAAGCUAUAAGCGCUGUGAGAGAGCUUUGCGUCCCAUUAGCUAGUUGGAGAGGUAACGGCUCACCAAGGCGAUGAUGGGUAGCCAGCCUGAGAGGGUGAUCGGCCACAAGGGGACUGAGACACGGCCCUUACUCCUACGGGAGGCAGCAGUGGGGAAUAUUGGACAAUGGACCGAGAGUCUGAUCCAGCAAUUCUGUGUGCACGAUGAAGUUUUUCGGAAUGUAAAGUGCUUUCAGUUGGGAAGAAACAAAUGACGGUACCAACAGAAGAAGUGACGGCUAAAUACGUG
rnacentral:rRNA from 1 species